rnacentral:rRNA from 1 species
AAACAGUGGCUAAGACUGGAUAGGAAGAUAAAAGGCAUCUUUUAUCUUUUAAAAGACCUAGUAAUAGGUAUGCUUUAGGAGGGGCUUGCGCCAUAUUAGUUAGUUGGUAGGGUAAUGGCCUACCAAGACGAUGAUGUGUAGCUGGACUGAGAGGUUGAACAGCCACAUUGGGACUGAGACACGGCCCAAACUCCUACGGGAGGCAGCAGUAGGGAAUUUUCGGCAAUGGAGGAAACUCUGACCGAGCAACGCCGCGUGAAUGACGAAGUACUUCGGUAUGUAAAGUUCUUUUAUCAAGGAAGAAAAGCAAAUGGCGAACCAUUUGUUUGCCGGUACUUGAUGAAUAAGCCCCGGCUAAUUAUGUGCCAGCAGCCGCGGUAAGACAUAAGGGGCAAGUGUUAUCCGGAAUUAUUGGGCGUAAAGGGUGCGUAGGCGGUCUAGUAAGUCAGUGGUGUAAUGGCAACGCUUAACGUUGUCCGGCUAUUGAAACUGCUAAACUUGAGUUAGAUAGAGGCGAGUGGAAUUCCAUGUGUAGCGGUAAAAUGCGUAAAUAUAUGGAGGAACACCAGAGGCGUAGGCGGCUCGCUGGGUCUUAACUGACGCUGAGGCACGAAAGCGUGGGGAGCAAACAGGAUUAGAUACCCUGGUAGUCCACGCCGUAAACGAUGAGUACUAAGUGUCGGGUUAAACCGGUACUGAAGUUAACACAUUAAGUACUCCGCCUGAGUAGUACGUACGCAAGUAUGAAACUUAAAGGAAUUGACGGGACUCCGCACAAGCGGUGGAUCAUGUUGUUUAAUUCGAAGAUACCCGAAAAACCUUACCAGGUCUUGACAUGUUUUUGCAAAAUGAUAGUAAUAUCGUGGAGGUUACCAGAAACACAGGUGGUGCAUGGUUGUCGUCAGCUCGUGUCGUGAGAUGUUAGGUUAAGUCCUAAAACGAGCGAAACCCUUAUCGUUAGUUGCCAGCACGUUAUGGUGGGGACUUUAACGAGACUGCCAAUGAUAAAUUGGAGGAAGGUGAGGAUCACGUCAAAUCAGCAUGCCCCUUAUGACCUGGGCUACAAACGUGAUACAAUGGCUGUUACAAAGGGUAGCUGAAACGCAAGUUCUUGGCCAAUCCCCAAAAACAGUCCCAGUCCGGAUUGAAGUCUGCAACUCGACUUCAUGAAGUUGGAAUCGCUAGUAAUCGCGAAUCAGCAUGUCGCGGUGAAUACGUUCUCGGGGUUUGUACACACCGCCCGUCAAACCACGA